CACUGGUUCUCUCGCAAUGAUAUAUUGUAAACCCCGUCAGGCCUGGAAAGGAGCAGCGGCAGCAGUAUUUUCAUGUGCCGAGAUACGGCUAGUUGUA
rnacentral:SRP_RNA from 1 species